UCGAGAAUCUUUGUCAAUGGACGAAAGUCUGAACAAGCGACGCCGCGUGCGGGAUGAAGGCCCUCGGGUUGUAAACCGCUGUCAGUUGGGAGGAAAGACCUGUGCAGAGCAGGUCCUGACCGAUCUUCAGAGGAAGGACGGGCUAAGUUCGUGCCAGCAGCCGCGGUAAGACGAACCGUCCGAACGUUAUUCGGUAUCACUGGGCUUAAAGAGUUCGUAGGCGGCCAUGUAGGUCAGAUGUGAAAUCCCACAGCUCAACUGUGGAACUGCGUUUGAAACCACAUGGCUUGAGGGAGAUAGAGGUGAGCGGAACAGAUGGUGGAGCGGUGAAAUGCGUUGAUAUCAUCUGGAACACCGGUGGCGAAAGCGGCUCACUGGAUCUCUUCUGACGCUGAGGAACGAAAGCUAGGGUAGCGAACGGGAUUAGAUACCCCCGUAGUCC
rnacentral:rRNA from 1 species